rnacentral:tRNA from 1 species
GGGGUUGUAGCUCAGCUGGAUAGAGCACCUGUUUCCUAAACAGGAAGUCGGAGGUUCAAAUCCUCUCAACCCCA